rnacentral:rRNA from 1 species
UACGUAGGGUGCGAGCGUUGUCCGGAAUUAUUGGGCGUAAAGAGCUCGUAGGCGGUGUGUCACGUCGGCCGUGAAAACCUGGGGCUUAACUCUGGGCGUGCGGUCGAUACGGGCAUCACUAGAGUUCGGCAGGGGAGACUGGAAUUCCUGGUGUAGCGGUGAAAUGACGCAGAUAUCAGGAGGAACACCGGUGGCGAAGGCGGGUCUCUGGACAGUUACCGACACUGAGGCACGAAGGCCAGGGGAGCAAACGGG